UUUCUGUUCUGGACAGGGAAUAGUGCCAUCUACAUAGCCAAAUAAGUUGUGAGAAGUGAGGAAAGACUCAAUCAUUGAUCUCCAAUAACCAUAAUUUGUAGGUUUUAGGGUAAAAGCAAAUUUAUGAGAGUUUUAGGUAAUCAGAGAGGGUUGAUCGCCUGGAAUUGAUUUGGCGGCAGUAGGGUUUUUGGCCGCAAGUUUGAUUUGGCGGCAGUAGGGUUUUUUUUUUUUUUUGCCGCGGGUUUGAUUGGCUCUGAUACCAAGUCAAACUAUGUGAAAAGGAUAUUUGUUUAUGUAUCAUUGAAAUACUGAGAAUACAAAGCCCUAUAUAUAUAGAGUUGGAAAUUACAAUUAGAUACCCUCUACAAUAAUAAGUUUGUCUAAUAAUAAGAACAUAGUCUAACAAGGGGAGUGUUAGAAUAGAUAUACUAAUAUAAUAUUAUAAGAUAUCCUUAUCUAGACUAGAUUCCCUGGAUUGUACAAGUUGGCUAGUUGCAUCCAAGUGGCUACCAAGUUGCUUAGCUAGAUUAGAUUUAGUUUUCCUAUAAAUACCUUGUAACUUCAUUCAAUAUACAUCAAGUGAAUACAAUGUAGUCUUUUAACUCUCUUUGUUUGUUAGUGGGGUUUUCACCCCAUUGGUUUUGUAUUCCUUCUUUGAGUUUAAGUUCGGAGUUAAUUAGAGUUCGAAUGUAAUGUUUAAGUUAAUCAUAGUUAUCAAAGGCGCUUAGACUCCGUCUAGGGCGUAGGCGAAAGGCGCAAAAAAGCCGUGGGCCUAAGAAAAAAAAAGUGCACU
rnacentral:lncRNA from 1 species